GGAACCCUUGCCAUCCUCAUUUCACCUGAGCAGCUUGAAACAGCAAAGGUCAUUUGGUGAGGAGAGAGCAGGGGUGGCUGAGCCUCAGCGGCAGCCCCACCAUUGAUUGAGUCCGUAGUCCUGCUGGCAUGUCCCCAGGGGUGUAUUCGGUGGCCAUCUAGGAAGCCCACACUCAGCUGCACAGGGUCCCUCUUAUUUCAAGAAAGAGAAACAUGUCUAGAGGAGGGAAGGGGCUUCUCCAGAACCAUGGAGCUAUUCCAUGUCUGGCUCUGGGCUAUGAGCCAGAUGGCUCAGAACGUCAUCCAGGGGUGUUAUUCUACAAACUACCAAACAAGCCAACAAACUUAGGAAGCAGACUUUGGACCACAGGAAGACCUUGACAAGAAGUCUUAAGCUGAAGUUAGAACUGUUCAGCUUCAGACAAACAGGGUGCUUUGGAGGGGAAAUGGCGUUCUUGAGUCAGGAAAUGGAGCCUAAGGUGACUCAGCACCAGAAGCAAGCUCCCCACCCUGCCCGACCCACCCCCUGACAUAAACACACACAAGACCCACGUCUAUGGACUGACUCAUCCAUCCCCUAAUCAAAUCUCUGGCCACACUUUCAGUCUGUCACCAUCAGAGGCAACCACAAACCAAAGAGCUGCCACAGUACUACUUUUCACUCCUCUCCCCCAUGACUUUGGUUUUUCUUUGUAUGACCCAGUGUCCCUCAGAUGGUAUUGUCACUUUUACUGGAGCAGCCCCGGUAGGCUCCUUUCGCCUUAGUUGACUUUGAAGUUAUUAGGUCUGUGUCUCAGUGCCCUGUGAACCAGAGGUGUCCUGAGAAAAGGAGGUGCCAGUUCUUGCCAUUGGUACUCCAGUUUCUUGCACAGUGAGGUCCCCAGGCUCUCACUCAAUGAAUGAAUAACCUGGACCCCAGGAUGCCUGCUCUAAGGCAGCUGAGUCAAAUGCUGAGAAUCUGCCCAGGUUCCAGGGCCCCAGGAGGCAGUUGCCAAGUUUUUGCUUGAUAUUACCAGAGUUGGGGGGCAGGGAGCACCAUUUGUGGUGUUAAGAACAUCAACCAGGCACAGUAGCGC
rnacentral:lncRNA from 1 species